rnacentral:ncRNA from 1 species
UUCUUAUCGAGAGAAGUGGAGGGACUGGCCCGACGAAGCUUCAGCAACCAGCGAUUAAGCAAGGUGCUAAAUCCAGCAGAACAUAUUGUUUUGGCAGAUGAGCG